ensembl:misc_RNA
CCCGCAUGAUGGCUGCACCUGUCAGCUGCAAGGAGCUUCCUUUAAGGAUCUUCUGAGUCUUGUGGGUAAACUCCAGGAGUUGGUGAU